rnacentral:rRNA from 1 species
CCCUUAGAUGUUCUGGGCGGCCCGCGCACUACAAUGGCGUGUGCAGCGAGUGCCGAAGUAGAGUUUUCCGAGGUAUUCUUGCAAUGCUCGUUUUGAUGGGGAUAGACCCUUGCAACUGUUGGUUUUGAACGAGGAAUUCCUUGUAAGCAUGGUUUAUCAUCCGACGCUGAAUGCGUCCCUGCCCUUUGUACACACCGCCCGUCGCUCCUACCGAUGAGUCGUCCGGUGAAGUUCGUAGACCUCGUGAUCGCGGAUCACUGGGGGAAGCAAAAUGAACCCCGCGGUUUAGAGGAAGGAGAAGUCGUAACA